CUUCAUUUGUCGAUCGACAGUUCGCGAGGUGACAAACGAAAAUGCAAUCAGUCAUUUAUUUCCACUUGGCAUAGUCUACCUUCAUUGAAAGAAUAGAGCAACGAAAAGCAGCCGUACUGCCCCGACGAACUCGAGGAUUUUCCACGUUGACCUCGGAUGGCGGCCAAAUUACUUUUGGCACCAAAAAGUAAAUUCUCCGAGACUAGUCCUGCAUGGACGCGCACAGGAGUGGAGAGGAUGCGACCAAUGAAAUUGGCUGCCAAAAGCCUGUAGGGGCCAGCGUGAACGUCUGGUCGGAACUGCUCCGGCCAAAAGGUGUGCAAAGUCAAACUGCCAUUAGGUGAUGACGUGAUUAGAUUAUUUGUCGUUGCAGUUGACACUGCAGACGUAGAAGAUGAUUCGACUGUAUUCCACAUGCCUCUGCCUGUCGCGUUGCUGCCUAAACGUUCUUUAAGAUCAAGUAUAACGUUCAUUACAACUCAAAUGAACAGGG